rnacentral:rRNA from 1 species
UAGGAAUAUACCUUGAAGAUUGGGACAACUUGGGGAAACACAAGCUAAUACCGAAUGAGCUCGAAAGAGGAAAGCUGGGGACCGUAAGGCCUGGCGCUUUAAGAUUAGCCUGCGUCCGAUUAGCUAGUUGGUGGGUAAAGGCCUACCAAGGCGACGAUCGGUAGCUGGUCUGAGAGGAUGGCCAGCCACACUGGGACUGAGACACGGCCCAGACUCCUACGGGAGCAG